rnacentral:rRNA from 1 species
UACGUAGGGUGCGAGCGUUGUCCGGAAUUAUUGGGCGUAAAGAGCUCGUAGGCGGUUUGUCGCGUCGACUGUGAAAACCUACAGCUUAACUGUGGGCUUGCAGUCGAUACGGGCAGACUUGAGUUCGGUAGGGGAGACUGGAAUUCCUGGUGUAGCGGUGAAAUGCGCAGAUAUCAGGAGGAACACCGGUGGCGAAGGCGGGUCUCUGGGCCGACAUUGACGCUGAGGAGCGAAAGCUAGGGGAGCAAACGGG